rnacentral:rRNA from 1 species
AACAGGAUUAGAUACCCUGGUAGUCCACGCCGUAAACGAUGUCGAUUUGGAGGUUGUGCCCUUGAGGCGUGGCUUCCGGAGCUAACGCGUUAAAUCGACCGCCUGGGGAGUACGGCCGCAAGGUUAAAACUCAAAUGAAUUGACGGGGGCCCGCACAAGCGGUGGAGCAUGUGGUUUAAUUCGAUGCAACGCGAAGAACCUUACCUGGUCUUGACAUCCACAGAACUUAGCAGAGAUGCUUUGGUGCCUUCGGGAACUGUGAGACAGGUGCUGCAUGGCUGUCGUCAGCUCGUGUUGUGAAAUGUUGGGUUAAGUCCCGCAACGAGCGCAACCCUUAUCCUUUGUUGCCAGCGGUUAGGCCGGGAACUCAAAGGAGACUGCCAGUGAUAAACUGGAGGAAGGUGGGGAUGACGUCAAGUCAUCAUGGCCCUUACGACCAGGGCUACACACGUGCUACAAUGGCAUAUACAAAGAGAAGCGACCUCGCGAGAGCAAGCGGACCUCAUAAAGUAUGUCGUAGUCCGGAUUGGAGUCUGCAACUCGACUCCAUGAAGUCGGAAUCGCUAGUAAUCGUAGAUCAGAAUGCUACGGUGAAUACGUUCCCGGGCCUUGUACACACCGCCCGUCACACCAUGGGAGUGGGUUGCAAAAGAAGUAGGUAGCUUAACCUUCGGGAGGGCGCUUACCACUUUGUGAUUCAUGACUGGGGUGAAGUCGUAACAAGGUAACC